rnacentral:rRNA from 1 species
AAUUAGAGGCUGGAAUGAAUGAAUAUGCGAGAGUUUAGCUGUUUCAUUUUUACUUCUAAAAAUUAUCCUUUAAGUGAAGAGACUUAAAUAAAAUAAAAAGACAAAAAGACCCUAUUGAGCUUUAUUUCAUAAGUUAAACUCCUAUAGCUUACGCAAAAGAACUUUACCUCUAGAAAUUUUGUUGGGGCGACAAGAGAAGACCUAAAUCUUCUCUACACUACAAGAAUAUACCUCUACUAAUGAUCCGUAAUAAACGAUUAACAGAACCAGCUACCAUAGGGAUAACAGGCUAAUCUUCUUUGAGAGCCCAAAUUGACAAGAAGGAUUGGCACCUCGAUGUUGGCUUAGGAUACCUGAUAGAUGCAGAAGUCUUUCAAGUGGGUUUGUUCAACCUUUAAUAUCCUACGUGAUCUGAGUUC